UGUAGGAGCGAGCUUGCUCGCGAUAGCGUCCGGCCAGUCAAUAUUUAUCUUGAAUGGAAGAUUGCAAUCGCGAGCAAGCUCGCUCCCACA
rnacentral:antisense_RNA from 1 species